AGCUAAUACUUGCUUUAGCACUCUUGAUUAAGUUCUUGAGUGUGUACUUGUUAAGCCUUUUAAGAAAAAAGUUAUUAACUUAAGGAAUUAUAACAAAGAAGCAACACGUAAAUGGAUUUUCCAUUUUUUAGUGUGUAUCAAUCGAGUUUCUGACCUAUCAGCUUUUGAUGUUAGGGUAUUGGCCUAACAUGGCUAUGACGGGUAACGGGGAAUUAGAGUUCGAUUCCGGAGAGGGAGCCUGAGAAAUAGCUACCACAUCUAAGGAAGGCAGCAGGCGCGUAAAUUACCCAAUUCUAAAGAAGAGAGGUAGUGACAAGAAAUAACAAUACAAGGCCAAUCUGGCUUUGUAAUUGGAAUGAUGAGAAUUUAAAACCUUCCCAAAACUCAAUUGGAGGGCAAGUCUGGUGCCAGCAGCCGCGGUAAUUCCAGCUCCAAUAGCGUAUAUUAAAAUUGUUGCAGUUAAAACGCUCGUAGUUGAAUUUCAAAGAAUCGAUAUUUUAAGUAGCACUUUGUAGAUUAAUCCACAUAACUGAUACUACGUAUCGACUUUGUGCGCAUUUUUCUACUUAUGUGUUCUUUUAAUUAAAAUGAUUCUUUUUAAGAUCUUUCUUUUUUGCUUCGGCAUUUUAGGAGAUCUUGUUACUUUGAGUAAAUUAGAGUGUUCAAAGCAAACAGAUUAUAGCAUCUUUAUGCGUUUGAAUACUACAGCAUGGAAUAACAAAAUUGAACAAGUCAGAAUUUUGUUCUUUUUUUUUAUUUUGGCUUAGUUACGAUUAAUAAGAGUAGCUUGGGGGCAUUUGUAUUCAGAUGUCAGAGGUGAAAUUCUUAGAUUUUCUGGAGACAAACAACUGCGAAAGCAUUUGCCUAAAAUACUUCCAUUAAUCAAGAACGAAAGUUAAGGGAGUGAAGACGAUCAGAUACCGUCGUAAUCUUAACCAUAAACUAUGCCGACUAGGCUUUGGAUGAAAGAUUUUAAAAUAAGAGUUUUUUCUCU
rnacentral:rRNA from 1 species